rnacentral:rRNA from 1 species
GAACGAGAAAGUGGAGCAAUCCAUGAGUACAGUGGCGACCGGNGUGAGUAACACGUGACUAACCUACCCUAGGGUGUGGAAUAACUCCGGGAAACCGGGGCUAAUACCGCAUAACAUCGGCGUUCCGAAAGGAGUGCCGAUCAAAGGAGCAAUCCGUCCCAGGAGGGGGUCGCGGCUGAUUAGCUAGUUGGCGGGGUAACGGCCCACCAAGGCGAAGAUCGGUAGCCGGCCUGAGAGGGCGCACGGCCACACUGGAACUGAAACACGGUCCAGACUCCUACGGGAGGCAGCAGUGGGGAAUUUUGCGCAAUGGGGGAAACCCUGACGCAGCAACGCCGCGUGGAGGAUGAAGCCCUUUGGGGCGUAAACUCCUUUCGACCCGGACGAUGAUGACGGUACGGGUGGAAGAAGCACCGGCUAACUUCGUG